GGGUUGUGAGGUUAAGCGACUAAGCGUACACGGUGGAUGCCCUGGCAGUCAGAGGCGAUGAAGGACGUGCUAAUCUGCGAUAAGCGUCGGUAAGGUGAUAUGAACCGUUAUAACCGGCGAUUUCCGAAUGGGGAAACCCAGUGUGAUUCGUCACACUAUCAUUAACUGAAUCCAUAGGUUAAUGAGGCGAACCGGGGGAACUGAAACAUCUAAGUACCCCGAGGAAAAGAAAUCAACCGAGAUUCCCCCAGUAGCGGCGAGCGAACGGGGAGCAGCCCAGAGCCUGAAUCAGUGUGUGUGUUAGUGGAAGCGUCUGGAAAGGCGCGCGAUACAGGGUGACAGCCCCGUACACAAAAAUGCACAUGCUGUGAGCUCGAUGAGUAGGG
rnacentral:rRNA from 1 species